UGAUGAUGAUGAUGAUAUGAUGAUGAUGAUGAUGAUGAUGAUAAUAAUAAUCAUCAUCAUCAUAAUGCUGUCAAU